GAGUGCUAAAGAUCAUCCGUACCACAAAUUUGGCACAGAACAUCAGUGCCGUAAAAAGUCUAUAUUAUUGUACUCCUGAGUGCUAAAGAUCAUCCGUACCACAAAUUUGGCACAGGCAGUUGGGAUACUUUGGAGGUGCAGCCAAAAGCAAGAGGGUUGAAUACUAGGGAGGAGCUUCUCAAAUUUUAUGAAGAAAAUUAUUCAGCCAGCUUAAUGCAUUUAGUUGUUUAUGCAAAAGUCUGCCUUGAUAAAGCUCAAACACUGGUACAGAGCAUAUUCCAAGAAGUUCCAAAUACCAAUAGAAGUUACUCUCCUGUUACUGAUCAGCCUUGCAAAUCAGAACAUCUUCAGAUUCUAGUCAGAGCUGUUCCAAUAAAACAAGGUCAUAGGUUGAGGAUUGUGUGGCCAAUA